UACGAAGGAUCCAAGCGUUGUCCGGAUUUACUGGGUUUAAAGGGUGCGUAGGCGGCCUUUUAAGUCAGUGGUGAAAGCCUGUAGCUUAACUAUAGAAUUGCCAUUGAAACUGAAAGUCUCGAGUGUGGUUGAGGUAACUGGAAUAUAUCAUGUAGCGGUGAAAUGCUUAGAUAUGAUAUAGAACACCAAUUGCGAAGGCAGGUUACUGAGACAUUACUGACGCUGAGGCACGAAAGCGUGGGGAUCAAACAGG
rnacentral:rRNA from 1 species